CGCGUAGGCGGACUAGUCAGUCAGGGGUGAAACCCCGGGGCUCAACCCCGGAACUGCCUUUGAUACUGCUAGUCUAGAGUUCGAGAGAGGUGAGUGGAAUUCCGAGUGUAGAGGUGAAAUUCGUAGAUAUUCGGAGGAACACCAGUGGCGAAGGCGGCUCACUGGCUCGAUACUGACGCUGAGGUGCGAAAGUGUGGGGAGCAAACA
rnacentral:rRNA from 1 species